UGUGUGUGUGUAUGUGUGCGUGUGUGUGUGUAUGUGUGUGUGUGUGUGUGUGUGUGUGUGUGUGUGUGUGUGUGUGUGUGUGUGUGUGUGUGUGUGUGUGUGUGUGUGUGUGUGUGUGUGUGUGUGUGUGUGUGUGUGUGUGUGUGUGUGUGUGUGUGUGUGUGUGUGUGUGUGUGUGUGUGUGUGUGUGUGUGUGUGUGUGUGUGUGUGUGUGUGUGUGUGUGUGUGUGUGUGUGUGUGUGUGUGUGUGUGUGUGUGUGUGUGUGUGUGUGUGUGUGUGUGUGAUGUGGCUUUUGUUCAAGUGUAUCGCGCAGAAAGAAAAGAAAAGAGAAGAAAAACUACGCAGGCAAAGAAGCUCUCCCUACAUCAAUCAAGGAAAAGGAGACGCAUUGGCUCAAAAGAGAGCCGUGUGCCCCCUCCACCACAGAGCGUAGAUUUGAUAGUAUCUAAAGUUCCUCUGUGGCUGAGUGAGGAUUUUUGACUGGAGCAGCAAGCCAGAAAAGGUUUGAAAAAGGGUUUUCUGUUUGAGGUAAGCAAUUGUCAAUUCUGUGAAGUGCUGCAUGAAAAGCAAGAGCAUCUGCACUUUUGUUUCCUAUGAUGUUAAAGUGAGAUUUGAAUUUCUUGAAUUGUAGAGUUGAUUUCGGAUUUGGUGUAAAGCAGGAGCAAUGUCUGUUGCAAUGGAGGAGCGUCUGUGUUGCACUGCUGCGAGUAUGGCAGAGGUGGACAACUCCCCCACUGAAAGGGAGUGUUUUUGAAAUGAUCAUUGCAUAGGUGGGCCCCAAUCUGGGACAUUCAAACUUAGUUUUAAGGUGUAGCUUUCUAUAGAACUAGAGCUUGGCCCUCCCACGUUGGGGCCCAUGCAUCAAAUCAGCCACAGCGUGAUCCCAAAUUGUUGCCACCAAACCUCCAUCCCAGAUCACCCUCUGCACCAAAUUGUGUGAUUUUUACUUACUUGAGGUCCUUGUAUCUAAAGAAUAUCAUUGCAAAAAAAAGGGGCAAAAAGACUGAGUGGUUGGUAAGAUACAGUGUUUCAGCCAUUUCCCUUCAGAGAAAUUGCAGCACAGGGUGUGCCUAUAAGAUCAAAAGUUGACCUCCUUCUUUCCUAAUUUUUAAUAUGCAGGAUGUUAACACAACAUAUA
rnacentral:lncRNA from 1 species